GACAGAGGUGCCGAGCGUUAGGCGGAAUCAGCUGGGCUUAAAGCGUGUGUAGGCGGCCCGUUAAGUGUCUUGUGAAAUCCCCCGGCUCAACCGGGGAACUGCUGGGCAUACUGGCGGGCUUGGGUCGCUCAGGGGGCAGACGGAACGAGGCGGUGGAGCGGUGAAAUGCGUAGAUAUCGCCUGGAACGCCGAAGGUGAAAACGAGUCUGCUGGGGGCGCACCGGACGCUGAGACACGAAAGCCAGGGGAGCGAACGGG
rnacentral:rRNA from 1 species